UUUCACUAGCCCGCUCGAAAAUAGCUGCGUAACGAUCAAGAAAGUCUAAAACCUAAAUCCCAAACAACUUAUCUUUUAUCCUGUCUCUUGGUUUGUGAUUCUUUUUUCUGCAUAAAAAAUCAACUUAAAAAAACAGUCUACCGGAACCGGAGCCUUAAUAAAAGUGAAAAGAUGUGCUGAAGUGUUUUGUUAAUCAUGGAGAUUUUUAGAUUUGUCAGUCGAUCUCGGAUCUGGAAGCUGGAACGGGUUUUUCUUUAUUCAAGAUUCUAACACAAUUUUAUUUUAAAAAUUAGUCGUUAAGCCCAGCCGGUUAUAAUGCUGAACAGUGAACAUUUUAUAUUCACAGUUCACACUUCACAGUCGAAUUUGCCGCUUUGGCUCUUAGCAAUUGCAGGGAUGCCAGAUGCGGACUUUUAAAUUGCAAAACUGAAAAUGGCAAUGUUGCGCCUUGCCCGUUACUUUCAAGAUGGCUGUUACUACUGUCAGAGUGUCAGUCUUACGUGGUUACGCCAAUCUCUUCGGAUCUAACAUAAUUCAACUCAACUUUCUCAACUUAUUUUCCCUGGCAUUAUUCGCCAUAAAAAUGAUAACAUAGCCUGCAAUUUAUACAUGGCAAUUUCAUCUUAUCAUGUGGCCUGAAACUGCUGUUUCCCAAAAUGUCGUCUCUAGCUGCACGUACCGGCUGUACGCUUCAGAACAGUAAAUGUGAUCAUUUUGAGCUUCUUCAUUGCAGUCCAGAUUUCUCAUUGAUUUGUUGAAGCCAGCUGGCGAAAGGUGUUGCUCUUACUGUCUUGCUACCUGUACCAGUUGUAGCUUUCGUCACACACUGAAACACUUCCGAACAAUUUAAAUAGGAUUAACAGCUACUUGAAGUCUGAGCCUCUUUGUUGCAGUCCAAUAUGUACAUGAAUGUUGUGAAGCCAGCUGGAGAAUGGUGUGGUGAGCUGUUGCAUGCCGACUGGGUUGCUGGUGUCGUUUGUUCAUUUAACUAUGGACCGUUCAGUCGUUCGUUUAUCGUAAGAUAUCUGUCACUUGUCGUGUAAAAUUGUGUCCACCAGGUGGCGAAGUUAGUAGGUUAGCAUUUCGUUGUUGAUGUCGAAGACAAUUAGACAAGUGACAUCCUAAUUUGGGCUCCUAACUAAGUACUUUUGUGGAAAAUACUUGUUAAGAGUUGUAAACUUUUGUUGAUGGAACAUAACAGAAAUAGAAAUUCCUUUGCUUUUUAAAACUUGAAAUUAUAUUUUUGAUCAUCUUAUUGAUUUCUUUUACUCUAGUUUAGUGUACAUUUCAAGUUUCCAUGGUCAGUUUUAUGUUUGAGCUGUUUGUGGCGUUGCUGUUUGGGGUACAGUGGUUUUGCAGUCAUUUUCUAGUUGAGAGAUGCGCUGAAAUGGAGCUUGUGCGGACUUGCAGUUGAACAUAAUACUUUAAUGUGUUAUUUGCCUAUGUCGGUGUCCAUGCACUCUAUGCAGUGUUGAACUGCUGUGAAAAAUAAUCGAUAUUGCCUGAUGGCUGUCGGGCUUAUUUUAUCGGCAGCAUGUUGUCGAUAUGUCGUCUCUUGCUACCUGUACCGCCGUUGA